UAUGCUUAGUCAUUCAGUGUUAAAACUACAAAAAGAGGCAAAAGUUGAUCUCAGAAGAAAAAUCAGGAUGUUACUUCCUUCAUACCCUCAAUGCCUUUUUCUGUCUUUGCUGAUCUUGAUGCUCCUUUCUUUUAAGCUGGCUGCAAUUUGAUUGUGUUUGAGGAAGUUUCUGCACACCUUGACAACUGUGUGGGGCUUGUUAGUGUGUUUUUUUACCUCUAAAAGACAAUCGUGUACAUUUGUUUGUGAUAAUGAGGCUUACUUUUUUCGGUAAUCUUGUUUUGCAUGCAGUACCAGAAUUAUUUGAAAAUAUACUAACAGAGCUAGCAGGAGGAAAAAGAAUUAAGAAUGGAAGGGAAAUCUUUACUUAUCCUACUUGCCUUUUUUUUCCUUCUUUUUUUUUUUUUUUCUUCUUUUGUUCAAGAGGGUUUUUCAUAAAAGUAAAGUGGCAUGAUCCAGGCACGACUUGUAAGAAGAAUAUAUCCCACCAAUUUUUCUUUUAUAGAGAAAAGUGAGAACAGCACUGCUGAAAUUCAAGAUAUUGUCUUCUGCCCACCAGAGCUCCCUGUGGAGAACCCAGAAGGCAGCACAUUUGUGAGCUGCUGCUGUGAGAGAAGAGAGAACACUUCAGAAUGGGGAAAGGCUGAACAAACCCAGCUCUCUCAGCCUUAUCUCUCCUCACAGAUAAGGUGGAUCAUUUUUGUGGCCCUCCACUGGAUGUGCUCCAACAGGUCCAUGUCUCUCCAGUACUGUGGACUCAACCUCUGGAUGCAGUACUCCAGAUAAACAGUAGAAGAAAAUCGGAUGAGGAACUGAUCAAAACACUGUACAGUGUAUAACUAACAGAAAGACAUGCUGAGCAUUGAAAAGAGGCUGAAAACUUCUGUCAAAAGUUGGAAAAAAAGCAACACGUACAUAAAGGAAGAAGAAUCUGUGAACAAUAUGUAAACAUUAAGAGAAGAAUGAAAAUUCUGUACUAUCACAACACUCUGCAUUUCAACAUUCUAAUUCUGCUUUGGAGCAAAGAAUUUAAACAGCAAUGUCCAUUUGGAGGAAAUGAGAAGAGCCUUGGCAUGCUGACUGCAAUAGCAUCUCUUCUUUCCGUGUCAGACAUAAAAGUGUCCUGGAUCACUGGAUUUUCUUCACCUGGGAAAUUUUCAUUUCAUUUUACUCAACCCCAUAUGGCUAUGGAUGAAAAGCCAUCAGUUAAAGCUGACAUGCAAUUAAAUAUCCUUGGCUAAAGAAGAAGAUUAAAAAAUGGUAUCAUUUUAUAAUAGCUGUGCUGCUGGGAGUAUUUUUUGGAUUUCAACUCCCUAAUUCUACUCAAGUUCAUCUAGACCCUGUAUCUGAUUCCCUAAAUCUUCUUGAAUUUCUUGAUUCAAGAAUCCCCCACUUUACAACUUGAACCAUCACUGUGCUAUGGUUCUCUUUCAUGUCUGUCUUGUUUUGAAUGUGAGGCUCAGUGCAUUGAUGCAUGUCAUUUUUUCAGUCAAUUGUGCAUAUAUAGUUAGUCUGUUCAUCUUCAGAGUUGGAUGUCAUGUUCUGAGUAUUUCUCAUGACUGAAGCUUGGUACCUCAAUUAAAUGUAUACUUACCUGCAAAUGGACAUCAUCUCAUUGUUUAUGUUUUACUCAUCUCUAAUGCAAGAGAGGAACUAGUAUGAUGGCUAGAGUUUUUGUUUCCUUAUUCCAAUGAAAAUCAUAUUACUUUGGAACAGAAUUAUAUCAUCUACUUCCUUCUGUGGAGAAGAAAAUACAGUGUUUGUCAUAAUACUUGCACAUUUAAUCAGUUCAAUUCAGUAAUCAAAUGAAACUAACAGCUGGAGUUUACACUGUGCCACGUGUCUUUCUGUCCCCAAAGGCUUUGUCCUAUUAGGGAAAUUUAGACAAAGUCAGGAAGAGUGGAAUCUUGCAAUAGCAUUUGAUAGUAAUAAAAUCACAGAAUGGUUUGGGUUGAAAGGGACCUUUACGAUCAUCUAGUUCCAACCCCCUUCUAUAGGCAGGGACACCUCCCAGUAGACCAGGUUGCUCGAAGCCUCAUGCAGCCUGGACUUGAAUGCCUCCAGGGAGAAGACAUUCAUAACCUCACUAGGCAACCUGUUCCAGAGUAUCCCACCUUCACAGUAAAGAAUUUCUUCCUAAUAUCUACUCUAAAUCUACCCUCUUCCAGUUUGAAACCAUUUCCCCUUGUACCUGCCCUCAUAAAAUGUUCCUCCCCAGCUUUCUUGUGGGCCCCAUUUGGGUAUAGGAAAGCUGCUAUAAUGUUCCUCUAGAGCUUUUUCUUCUCCAGACUGAAAAGCCCCAGUUCUCUCAGCCUCUCCUCACAGGGGAGGUCCUUCCAGACUUCUGAUCAACUUCAUGGCUCUCCUCUGGACUCAAUCCAGCAACUCCACGUUUUUCUCAUGGUGGGGGCCCCAGACCUGUACACUCACAAGUGCAGAGUAGAAGGGUAGAAUCACCUCCCUCUUCCUGCUGGUCACACUUCUACAGUUUUUAGCAGGCUGACAUAUGAACCCUACAGAUGCUACUAACUGCACUGAUUAUUUAAAAAAUAAUCAAAUGAUUUAAUAAAACAAAUUAUUUGAUAAAACAAAUUAUUUAAGGAAGACAAACCAAGCCAAUUUUUUUGCAAUAAUAUUUUUAAUAUACUAACAGAGAGAGACAAGAUAUUUAUGUGAUUUAUUCUAGUUUUUAUUUAUUUGUCUGCUUUUCUGUUAUAUUUCCUUCUGGCAAUUAUCUGCAUAUUAAGUUGUAAAAUCCUUAACCUGGGAAUAUUGCUGGCUACUGAGGCAACUGGGGAAAAAGUGUCCCAUCUACAUGUUAGCAGACUUUUCUUGUCUUGGAAACAGUGUACCAGCAUGCAAGUGCUGUUUAUGGCUGGUACCUGCUGUGACCAGCACCCAAAAAUUGCCUGAUAGAACACAAGGAAUAAAAGCCUGCAAGACAACAUUUGCACAGAUCAUAAAUAUAAGAAAUGGUGUUUCAGUACCCGAGAACACUCUUGGGAACACUUGAAUUUAGUGAUAUAGAUGUAUCAUUGGCACAUAUUUAGCUGUAGAAUCCAAUGUAGACCUUUGUUUGAACAAUUUAUGAGUACAAAAAUAAAAGCCUGUUUGCUGAGUAAAACUGAAAUCAGCAGAAACGUUAACCUUGUUCUUACUGAAAUCAGAAAUAAGGUCUUUAUUUUGAAAGACAAACCUAAAAAAGUGAUAGAGGUGCUUUUCAUCUGCUAUAGAAAAGUUUUGGUCAGGAACCAUACAUAUUAUUGUUCAUUAUAGAUGUUUAAAUAUGCUGUACUUUGCACUUUUUGUAUAUUCUUUUACCUGAGCAACUGUUAAACUAGGGCCUAUUCUGAAUUAAGCUAUGAAAUGCAAAGAGACUUGCAAGGAAAUCUUUAAAAAAAAGGGGAUACAUGAAGAAAAUCUAGGGCUUCACACCUGGUAUAGAAUGUAAGAAGCCACUGGAUCAUCUGCCCCAAAAUGCAUUAAUCUGCCUUAUUUGAGUAGCACCAGAGAAAUUAAUCUACUUUCAAUAUAUAGCAAGAGCAGUGGCUCUGUGAACACAGGAAUUCUCUUUCAUAAAUGUAUCUGCAGAAUUAUGAGGCAGAGAGUUAACAUCUGACUCUUUAAAUGUGCACAGAUCACCACUUAUUUGCAUGAGCUGAUGUCUGGAGAAUACUGUUUUAUGCAAAUACAUGUUUAUAAUUUCUUUCAAGGUUAGUGAUUUUAACAAGAUAUUUUUUGCUGUUUACUGUGCAGGUUCAACAUCUUUUUUGUUUUCUCAUGUAUGAACAUGCAUAUUCAAAUGAAUGCUUUUACAUGUAGGAUUUGAGCUCAUUCCUUGCUAGUUAAAUUCUUUUCUGACAUUUAUGAUGAAUGACUAGCUGUGCUAGUCAUUGAUAACUUUAGGCUUUAAAAUCUAAAUUUCAGAAUUAAAAAAAUGUUACAACUAUAUUCUACAAAGAAAUUCAGUUAUGCUAGUUCAAAUAAAAACCAUACACAAAACAAAAAAAACAGCAAAAACAAACAAACAAAUGAAAAACAGUCGGAAUUGACCCAUUACAAAUGAUGGAUACCUACCUGUGUGGGCUGACCAUACCACAUUUAUCUUUCAUUUGCAAUUGCUUGUACAAAUAUUUUGAACUGUGCUUGGAAAUGUGGAAGACAAUUGAGGUGACAUUUUCAAGGUUCUAUCUUAUGACCUGGAGUGAGAAGUAUUUAAAAAAAAAUCUUCAUGAAAGAAAAGCAAUAGUAAGUAAUCUCUUAAUCAAUUAAUUCUUGUAAUAAUGUUUUGACUGGAAGAAUCAGUAGUAAACUGUCUAAACUCAAAGUAGCUGUGCUUGUAAUUUUCAAAUCCCAUACAAUUCCUCUAGUUAUUUACUUUUGAUUAUAAACCCUUCAACUGUGAAGGAAAUGUAUAGGGAAUAUGUGCUGACAGCAAUAUGUAAACAACUUCCUGAUUAUGCUGGAGGCAUAGACGUCAUCCUGAUGUUUAUUAUACCAGAAAAGAAAAGAAAUAACUAUACUCAUGAGUAUAAUUAAAUAUUUCAGAAUGGAAAGUGCAGAGUACAAGUACCAGCCAAUUUUCUACAAGUGUCUCCUGUAUAGCUUUAGAUCAUGACUUUUUUGUUACUCCACAUAGACAAUCAAUCAGACGGUCAUCCCUGUAUGUCUUUAUUCGGCUAUAAAAUACUUCAGAAAAGAGAGUGAAAAAGCACUUGUUGGGAAUUCAGCAACUGUUCUAUUACUCUGACUCCCAUUCUGCCCAAACCAGAGUCUUUUGGUAGUAACUGAAACAUGUUUGAAGACUGCAGCAUGGUAGCAGAAUUGUGAUGCAUAUGUACAUGUGUUUUCUUCCUCACUGUGUUGUGACAAGCCAUAAAAUGGGUAGGUUUGGGGUAAAACAAUUUUUUACAAUGAUUUGUAAAGUGAAAUCAUCCACCUUCGUAUUUCGCACUUAAGCACCAGUAAAAAAUUGACGUUUCACCUGGCAGAACCAAUAAGAGAACAAUCCAAAUUGCCACAUAAUAGAGACUAUGUCCAACACAACAAAAUUCAGAGAAGUGGAAGUUGAUAUCUCUAUGGAAUUCAAUUUUUUAUACCAAGAGGAUGCAGGUCCAAAAUCAUGUAGAUUAUAUCCAUACCUACAUAAAAUGUUCUGGAAUAGCAGCCUCCUUUUCUGCUCAUCUAGUCAGGUACAUACGAAAGAUCAGAUAAGAUCAACGAACAAAGUGAUAAGGGGUGAUUUGAGAGUUUCUUAGUUCAGCUGUUGAAGAUGUAACAGGCUUGAAGAAUGUUUUCUGUUUAAAAUCUUUAGACGUUUUCACAGUCUGAAAUUUAUUCAUUCAUAUGGUUAAGAAGCAGCUGAGCAGCAACCUUUAGUGUUGCCUGUGUAUUAGCAGGCAAUUAGUAGCACCCAUUUAAGGGUCUAACUCUCAAAUAUUAAGGUGAUGUGUGUUUACAGAAUGUAAUAAUAUUAAUUUUCUAUUAUUCAUAAGUAGAUUAUCCAAGCUGUGGAUUAAACUGGUCCUGAUUUCUCCCAAGGCAUCUUACUGUAAUCCAGUGUUGCCAAUAAUGCAAUGUGAAGAAUAUUGCUGCUACUUGACUCUACUCUGUCAACUCCUUAUUCAUUUCUCUGCAGCAUUUUAAAACAUUAGUGAAGUGUGCUCCCACAGCCUACUGGAUCUGCAGUUUCAUUUUAUCUGGGUUAUUUCUCUGUAUUUUUGUAAUGAAGAUUAUUUGGCUGUAGCAAGCUUAAUCUUUCUAAUUCUUAGGAAUUUCCUGUUCGUGAUGAGUAUCCAUUACAAAUUAGCAAUUCGUGUAGCAAAUUUAUCCAUUUUUAAGUGAUCGGUUUUGGCAGAAAUGCAUGUAUCUUUGAGCAUUACAUAUCAUUAGGGUCACUAUUAAUAUUUGUUAUGUUUGAUUUCUAUCUUUCCAUUUCUUUUAUUCUUUUAUUCUCCAAUGAAAAUACCACAUUAGGUUUAAUUCAAGUGAAAAUACAUGCUUUCCAGUGAGAUGUGAGGUGGAGGGUUUUUUUCAUUUGUUUAGUUUUCUUUCCAACUAAAUUUUUUUAAGAAACAAAACAUGGGUUAUUGUUUUUUCAUGUCAGCUUUGCUCUGAGGGUGGACAGAUGUGCACAGUGAAAUGCAAUUUUGCUACUCUAUGCAUAAAUUAGCACAUAUUUUGCCAACAUUUGUAAAGGCUUUACUACUUAUUUAAGUUAGUUAAGACAUUUUAAGAUGAUCUGUAUUCUCUUGUUCUUCCAGGGAUCCAGCUGGUAUUUCUUUGGAAUAUCUUCAUUUACUUAAUUAAAUUCUUUCUUGCAAGAUGUGACACAGUUGAUAAUCCACAACAAUUUCCUGCAGAUGUUAACUUAAUGAAUACAAUGGAAAAGCCUUCUUAAAAAUAUAGCAAUAACAGACAAUAUAUUCAUUAUUAAUACGUAUUUAAAGAUUGUCCUAAACUUGCAAAUAUUUUUCAGAAAGAAUGCUGACAAUCCAGGUAGACAUUACUGUCUAUGCAAAUGCCUUGAAGUAUUGUCCUUCCACCCACCGCAGAAUGCAAAUGCCAGCUGCACCACUAGUUCAGACUAGCCAAGUCUGGACUGAUCAGUCUGACAGAGCCAUGUCAGAGCACAGUGCUUGAGGGGUAAUUCUUAAGGUGAGAGGGAGAACGCAUUGAUUAUCUAACUCUCCUCCUACCUGCACUGGAAAACACAAGAAGUGGUGGUUAAUCAAUACUAAGUGACCCACUCUGAUGUUGCUUCUUCUCAAGAGCUGUCAUUUUCUUCCACAGUGGUAGUACAAGUGUAUACAUAGCCCUGGGAAAUUAUGUGCUGGUACUUCCUAGUAGUGCAUGGUUGAGGUUGUUUUUGCCCUUAUAGGUUUUUUUUUUCAUGAACCAACAAGUGCAGUUAUGUUAUGGUUUCAGUGCUGUCUUCAGGAGUAAAGUCUCUUUGCUUUCUGACAGCCCUGCCAGCAUCAUUCUUUUGAGCAUAAUAAAGCCUUCAGGUUUUUAGUAACUAGCAAUCCAGAGAUCAGCAUAACAGAAGGAUGCUUUGACAGACACAUCUAUUCAGUGCCACAUUCUUUCACUUACAAUAUAAAAAAGAAAUAUUUCUAAUGAUGACGAGUCAUUUCUGUCUGUUCUGGGCAGUGGCUGCCUUUAAUUUUUUCUUUAAAAUAAACUGAAAAAUAGCCAACAUAAUGAUAGUCAAAAUAUUCUGAUGACAGUAUAUAUAUAUAUAUAUAUACUAUAUGUUGUGGUAUAUUGCAUUAAUGUUUAGUACACAGAAUUUUUAUGUUGUGAUUUGAUGAAGUGCAAUGUAAACAACAAAAAGAAUACUAUGAAAAAGGGGAAAGUGUUUCAAGUAAAAAGUUUAUAGCCAGUCAUUUGUUUCCAAAUUGUAUUCUGUCUCCAUAUACAGCUACCAAAACAUAUCUUUUGAAAAGUGGGAAAUUUGAUAAAUAUUUUGUUUUGCUUCAAAACACUGCUAAUGUUGGGUAUCAUUUUUUCCUGUCUGUAAUUUAUAUCCAAGACAAAUGUUUUACUCUUUUCCCUUUAAAAGUUUGUGUGAAAUAUAUAGAAGUGUUGUAAUUCUAAAUGUAUCUCUUUCUAGUCUGUAUACCAAACAAUUGUAAUAUAUCCUUUUGUCCAAUAAAUAUUCCAUAUCAAGCAGCAAAUAUCUAUAACUCUUUCUGCUAAAAAACAACAGAUGUUUUAAAUCCCUGCAGCAAGUACUUAAACAUCAA